UCUUAAAUCCCUGAUAGAACAAUGAUAUAUAACUAUAUGAUCUUUAAAGUUAUAUUAGUUAUACAUAUAUAUGUAUAUAUUAGACAUAUGUGUGUGCAUAUGAAGGUAGAUUUGUCAGUUGAAUUGAUUGUUCUCGACAAGCCAAGGUUUUUGAGUCUGGUCACAUGCUCUCUCUUCCAUCGAAGGUAAGAGGAGGUGACAGAAGAGAGUGAGCACACAUGGUGGCUUUCUUGCAUGUUUUUUUCAAAAUUAGGGUUUCAUGCUUGAAGCUAUGUGUGCUUACUCUCUCUCUGUCACCCCUUCUCUCUCUUUUCUUUUGAAAAUGGUUAAUUUUGUUUGGUAAAAGAUCUAUAUUUGGUUUGAUUAUUUUAAGGUUCUAUGCUUAGUUAUACUAACAUCAAAUGGAUAAAAGUAAUUUGAGGUAUCUAAGCGUAGGUAGCUCUUGUGGAAGGUUUAAUCCUGCUCCUAAGCAGCAAACCUGGAACUUUGUUGGGGAACUGGAUUAUCAAUAACUGGUUCCUGACCAAAAGACUGUGCAAAAGAUGGAAAUUUUUUGAUUAACAAAAAGCUGGACUUGAACAAAUGCCUCUGUUCGAUUUAUGCGGCCAAUCAAAUCUGAUACACACUAUCACCUGAUAAAAAAA